rnacentral:rRNA from 1 species
CACUCUGCGGGAGGCAGCAGUAGGGAAUCUUCCACAAUGGGUGCAAACCUGAUGGAGCAAUGCCGCGUGAGUGAAGAAGGUCUUCGGAUCGUAAAGCUCUGUUGUUAGAGAAGAACACGUGCUAGGUAACUACUAGCGCCUUGACGGUAUCUAACCAGAAAGUCACGGCUAACUACGUGCCAGCAGCCGCGGUAAUACGUAGGUGACAAGCGUUGUCCGGAUUUAUUGGGCGUAAAGGGAGCGCAGGCGGUCUGUUUAGUCUAAUGUGAAAGCCCACGGCUUAACCGUGGAACGGCAUUGGAAACUGACAGACUUGAAUGUAGAAGAGGAAAAUGGAAUUCCAAGUGUAGCGGUGGAAUGCGUAGAUAUUUGGAGGAACACCAGUGGCGAAGGCGAUUUUCUGGUCUAACAUUGACGCUGAGGCUCGAAAGCGUGGGGAGCGAACAGGAUUAGAAACCCCUGUAGUCCCAUGA